rnacentral:tRNA from 1 species
GGGAGCUUGGCUCAGUUGGAAGAGCGCAGGUCUCAUACUUUAUCCUGAGGUCGUGAGUUCGAGCCUCACAGUUCCCA